rnacentral:rRNA from 1 species
AUUGAACGCUGGCGGCAGGCCUAACACAUGCAAGUCGAACGAGUGGCGGACGGGUGAGUAAUGUCUGGGAAACUGCCUGAUGGAGGGGGAUAACUACUGGAAACGGUAGCUAAUACCGCAUACUCUCCGUUGUGCCCAGAUGGGAUUAGCUAGGUGGUGGGGUAACGGCUCACCAGGGCGACGAUCCCUAGCUGGUCUGAGAGGAUGACCGGCCACACUGGAACUGGGACACGGCCCAGACUCCUACGGGAGGAGUAAGUGGGGAAUAUUGCACAAGGGGGGCAAGCCUGAUGCAGCCAUGCCGCGUGUAUGAAGAAGGCCUUCGGGUUGUAAAGUACUUUCAGCGGGGAGGCGUUACCCGCAGAAGAAGCACCGGCUAACUCCGUGCCAGCCGCCGCGGUAAUAC